GUCCGUGUAGCUCAGUUGGAACUUGAGAGCGCUGCUCUACGAAAGCAGAGGUCGGGAGUUCGAAUCUCUCCACGGACGCCA
rnacentral:tRNA from 1 species